UACGGAGGAUGCAAGCGUUAUCCGGAAUGAUUGGGCGUAAAGCGUCCGCAGGUGGCAAUGUAAGUCUGCUGUUAAAGAGUCUAGCUCAACUAGAUAAAAGCAGUGGAAACUACAUAGCUAGAGUACGUUCGGGGCAGAGGGAAUUCCUGGUGUAGCGGUGAAAUGCGUAGAGAUCAGGAAGAACACCGGCGGCGAAGGCGCUCUGCUAGGCCGUAACUGACACUGAGGGACGAAAGCUAGGGGAGCGAAUGGG
rnacentral:rRNA from 1 species